GGUUCCAUGGUGUAGUGGUUAGCACUUUGGACUUUGAAUUCAGUAACCUGGGUUCGACUCUUGGUAGGACCU
rfam:Ipomoea nil DNA, scaffold: scaffold2701, cultivar: Tokyo-kokei standard.